rnacentral:tRNA from 1 species
GAGGGUUUAACUCAGUUGGUAGAGUAAACGACUUUUAAUCGUCUAGUCACAGGUUCGAUUCCUGUAACCCUUA